rnacentral:rRNA from 1 species
GCCAGACUCCUACGGGAGGCAGCAGUGAGGGAUAUUGCACAAUGGGGGGAACCCUGAUGCAGCGACGCCGCGUGGGUGAAGGAGCGUUUCGGCGCGUAAAGCCCUAUCGGCAGGGAAGAAGGAGGACGGUACCUGACUAAGAAGCCCCGGCUAACUACGUGCCAGCAGCCGCGGUAAUACGUAGGGGGCAAGCGUUAUCCGGAUUUACUGGGUGUAAAGGGGGCGCAGGCGGCAGCGCAAGCCAGGAGUGAAAGCCCGGGGCCCAACCCCGGGACUGCUCUUGGAACUGCGCGGCUGGAGUGCAGGAGGGGCAGGCGGAAUUCCUGGUGUAGCGGUGAAAUGCGUAGAUAUCAGGAGGAACACCGGUGGCGAAGGCGGCCUGCUGGACUGCGACUGACGUUGAGGCCCGAAAGCGUGGGGAGCAAACAGGAUUAGAUACCCCUGUA